GAUGAACGCUGGCGGCGUGCCUAAUACAUGCAAGUCGAGCGAACGGACGAGAAGCUUGCUUCUCUGAUGUUAGCGGCGGACGGGUGAGUAACACGUGGAUAACCUACCUAUAAGACUGGGAUAACUUCGGGAAACCUGAGCUAAUACCGGAUAAUAUUUUGAACCGCAUGGUUCAAAAGUGAAAGACGGUCUUGCUGUCACUUAUAGAUGGAUCCGCGCUGCAUUAGCUAGUUGGUAAGGUAACGGCUUACCAAGGCAACGAUGCAUAGCCGACCUGAGAGGGUGAUCAGCCACACUGGAACUGAGACACGGUCCAGACUCCUACGGGAGGCAGCAGUAGGGAAUCUUCCGCAAUGGGCGAAAGCCUGACGGAGCAACGCCGCGUGAGUGAUGAAGGUCUUCGGAUCGUAAAGCUCUGUUAUUAGGGAAGAACAUAUGUGUAAGUAACUGUGCACAUCUUGACGGUACCUAAUCAGAAAGCCACGGCUAACUACGUG
rnacentral:rRNA from 1 species